GUCGAUUCGUUACCACAGCAUCAUCUAGCCCAUCCUGACUAAUGCUCAUGGCUUCUUCCCUCCUCUGUGAGCAAGGACUUUUGCCUGGUUGCAUCAGCACCUACUGGAGCCAUGAAAGGCGCAAGCCCAUCCAUGGGGAGGACCCACUGAAGAGUCGAUUGACAAAUUUAUAGCUGAUGAUGUUCCUCCAAUUUAAAGAUUCCUGCUGCCCCUCUUUGCUCCUCCAAAUCCAAGCUUCAAGGCCCAAGUUAGAAGCCACUCUCUCCGUGAAAAGUCUGCCAGUUACUGGAAUCCAGAUCAACUAGUCCAUGUGCUCUGAUUGGGCAGCUCUUGGUGCUGUUGUAUUCACGGCGCGUAUGUGCAUGUUUUAAAACAGUUUGAGAAGCAGAAC
rnacentral:lncRNA from 1 species